GAAUGCAGGCACCACUGAUCUCUGGAUGUGUGCUUCAAAGGUCAAUGAUCCUGUUGUGGUUAUAGCUCAUGCCAACUUCUCCUUACCCUGGGUUGCCAUGGAGAUAGCAUGUUCAAUGGAACUGGUGAAUUAGUCUUCAAAUUGCUGUAUUCUUUGGGAGUCUAAGUGAGCUGGAGGUCACAGUGCUACUCAAACAGAGGAAGGUUUAUUCAUGUACUUUUGGAUAUUUGUUGUGAGCAGUCCAUCAGAGAUUUCUUCAUGCCAUGCAAUGCCCUCGGUACUGGAGGUGCAAAAUUGAGAAAAUUACUUUAUUGAUGACUAUGGCUUACUAUACCUGCUGAGAUACAAGCAAAAAGUUCUAACUUUAAUUUGGGUUGUAAUCAAUAAUUCUCCUAAUGUUUACUUAAUACUUUCCUUUGAAACAAACUUCACCCACCUUAUUUAAAAUCGUGUGUUCUGUAGUAUUUGAUUACCUUAAAAAGAAUAUCUAUCACAUACAUAAAUUCUGAAUCAGAAUAGUAGAAUGGAUACUGGUGAACUCAUUACUCAGUAUAAGAAGUAAAUAUUGCUAUCCAACUUAAGAACUAAAACAUUUCCGGUUCCACUGCUCUAAUUAUAUGCCUCUUCCCUGUGUCAUCUCCUUGCCUCCCCUAAGAGAUUACCACUCUUCUGUAUUUUGUGUUCACUUUCUCUUGCUUUUUGAAGAAUCUUAUCUCCCACGAAUAGAUUCAUAAACAGUAUAUUGUGGAUGGAG